rnacentral:lncRNA from 1 species
AUGGGCCCAGAUUCAGUAUCAGUGCGGGAGGGCGCAAGAGACCAGGCUGGGCGUAGCAAAAGGACCUUUUAUUCGAGGGCUUCCCUUCAGCGGGGCUCAGCCGAAGAUGCAGACGGUGCCCGAGGCCAGGCGGUGGCGGUACUCGUGGCGGAGGCUGGCGGCCUGCGGGAAGCUGCUCCUCAUCUCCAGCUUGCCGGGCACCACCAGGAGGGUGACUCCGGGCCCCAGGCCCUCGGCCAGCUUCUGCAGCAGGCGGCGGGCCAGGUAGCCGGCGGCUCGCGUCGGCUCGGCCUCCAGGCUGGCGUAGACCUCCGGGGGCGGGUUGGGCAGCUUCCACUCCAGCUCGCCGAUCAGCUGGUGGGUGCGGGCGCGGUCGAGGGCGCCGGGGCUCUCCCCAUAGCAGGCCACCACGUGCAGCCCCCCCGGGGCGCGGGCGGCCACGAAGCUGCCCUGCGCCAGCACCUCCUCCUCGCCGCCACCGCCGCCCUCCUGCCAGGCCAUCACCGCCCAGCGCAGCCAGUCGUAGUUCUCCUCCAGCUUGCGCAGGACGCUGGAUGCCAGCUGGGCCGGCCCGGGGGGCACCGCGGGCACCUCGGCCAGCGCCCGCUCGACGUCCUGGCGCGCCUGCUCGGGGAAGUAGCGGGCGCAGGCGGCCAGCGCCUCCUUCAUGCGCCGGUGCGCGGCGCCCACGCGCUCCUCCCAGACGGCCAGCAGCAGCGCCGGGUCGCGCUGGGUGAGGCCCGCCUGGCACAGCAGGCACAGCAGCCCGGCGCCCAGCAGCGCGUUCAGCUUCUGGCACACGCCCGCCAUCUGGGGCCUCCGCGGCCGGUGCGCCUCGACGGCGCGCUCCAGCACCGGGCGCUGCGCCGCCGCCACCCCGCAGCCCUGCACGCGCCGCCAGGCGGCCAGCAGGCGCCGCUCCAGCUUCUCGCGCGCGCACGCGGCCACGAAGAGCUCGGCCUCGCGCGCCGCCGACGCUGUGCCGGAGGCGCGCGCCGCCAGAGCCAGCUGCUCGAAGGCGACCGACACGCCGUCCUCGCAGGCGCCCAGCUCGCCCGCGCCGUCCAGCGCCAGCCCCGGCCCGGCGGCCAGGUCGCGCUCCAGCAACGCCAGCUCGCGGCGGACGAAGGCCGCCUCCUCCGGGGUCGCCGAGCCCCGCAGCAGCGAGGCCGCGCCCAGCGCCAGGGAGCGCAGCGACUGCAGGAAGCCGGUGGGCUCCAGGCACUGCGAGAAGAGCGCCAUCCGCAGGCGGGGACGGGAGCCUGCAGAGGGAGAGAGAGAGAGAGAGAGACGGGGGUCAGGGAGGCCGGCAAGAAGGGGAGCCCUCUCUUAAGACCCCGGCUGCUGGAUCGGGGCCAUGUGGUCGAGCAGCCUAUCACUGAAAGGGACCUGGGGUCAUCUAGAGCCCCCCGCCCCCAGUUGCCUGCCAGAUGCCCCUUACGGGAGCCUCUUCCCCUCUUGCGAUUCCCAGCCACGGGGAGGCAGAGUCGAGUCACCAGGGCUAGGAGCCAUCCAAUAGCUCUCUCCCAUCAUUGA